UUUCCUGUGGUGUAAUGGUAACACUUCUGAUUCUGGUUCAGACGAUCGUGGUUCGAGCCCAUGCGGGAAAA
rfam:Mucilaginibacter lappiensis strain ATCC BAA-1855 genome assembly, contig: Ga0104715_103